GACGAACCGUGCGAACGUUAUUCGGAAUCACUGGGCUUAAAGGGCGCGUAGGCGGGCCAGCCAGUCUGUGGUGAAAUCCUCCAGCUCAACUGGAGAACCGCCUCGGAUACUGCUGGUCUUGAGGAAGAUAGGGGUGUGUGGAACGGGUGGUGGAGCGGUGAAAUGCGUUGAUAUCAUCCGGAACUCCGGUGGCGAAGGCGACACACUGGAUCUUUUCUGACGCUGAGGCGCGAAAGCUAGGGGAGCAAACGGG
rnacentral:rRNA from 1 species